CACGGAUCCCUGCUUCUGGGAAACUGGAAACAUGCUUGAAACUUGCGGCUCCCGCCAGCUGCCCUACUAAAGUUGUGUUUUUCUCCCUUUGUUUCUCUUUUCCUCUUCUCAACCUCCUGCUCGCCCCCUUCAAGCGAGAGGCUUCUCCCCUGGCUAGGAACGUUUCCUGCCUGGCAGUCAGAAGAGAGACAGAAACCACGCCGUAGGCAAGGGGGGAGAGGCGAGGUCUGGAAUGGGAGCUCUGGGGAAGGAAGAGGAGAAAAAAACGUGACGCUCUCGUUUAAACAUCCAAAUCAAAAGUUGAGGAAUCGGGUUCGUUGCUGUUUGCUAGUCAACUUACUGUAAACCUGAUUUCCCUUGUGUCCAGGCAGUCCCCUGCCUGAUCACACUGACAGAUACUGUCUCCAGACUGUCUGAAAGCUAGUCCUGAUUGCCAUGGGCUCAGUGGAUGGCAAAUAGAUGUUUGGGUUUCCUGUGACAAGCACUGGGCUGAGAAUCAGGAGACGUGAGUGUUACACCAGCCAGACACUUGAAGAUGGGACUCUGAGCAAGAUGCUAGUUUGUAGACCUGCUUCUGCGCCUGUGGAAGAAAGGAGUCUAUAUCUUGCCAGGUUCUGUUGUAGGUUUCCUAAGAUACAAGAUAUAAAAUGUAAUAAAAUGAGUAAGACUUGA